CCUACGGGUGGCAGCAGUCGAGAAUCAUUCACAAUGGGGGAAACCCUGAUGGUGCGACGCCGCGUGGGGGAAUGAAGGUCUUCGGAUUGUAAACCCCUGUCAUGUGGGAGCAAAUUAAAAAGAUAGUACCACAAGAGGAAGAGACGGCUAACUCUGUGCCAGGAGCCGCGGUAAUACAGCGGUCUCAAGCGUUGUUCGGAAUCACUGGGCGUAAAGCGUGCGGAGGCUGGUUCGUGAGUCGUGUGUGAAAGGCGAGGGGUCAACCCGCGGACGGCAGAUGAUACUGGGAGACUAGAGUAAGGGAGGGGGAGACGGGAUGCGUGGUGGUGCAGUGAAAUGCGUAGAUAACGAGAAGAAC
rnacentral:rRNA from 1 species